AAACAAACAUGGCCGAAUUCCACAAAAAGGAUACGGGGGAAAUAAAAAUAACAGGGGUGAAUCCUGAUUUGCUUAAAGGAGGUGUCCGGCAUCUCAGGUAGGGAACCCUCUUUCCGAACCCGUCAGCUAACCCCGAAGGCCAAAAGGAGGGCAUAU
rfam:Desulfotomaculum sp. 46_80 MPI_scaffold_127, whole genome shotgun sequence.